UACGUAGGCAGCGAGCGUUGUUCGGAGUUACUGGGCGUAAAGGGUGUGUAGGCGGUUCUUUAAGUUUGGUGUGAAAUCUCCCGGCUCAACCGGGAGGGUGCGCCGAAUACUGAGGGACUUGGAGUGCGGGAGAGGAAAGUGGAAUUCCUGGUGUAGCGGUGAAAUGCGUAGAUAUCAGGAGGAACACCGGUGGCGAAGGCGGCGAUCUGGACGAUGACUGACGCUGAGACGCGAAAGCGUGGGGAGCAAACAGG
rnacentral:rRNA from 1 species